rnacentral:antisense_RNA from 1 species
CUUCAGCGAUCCCAGCCACAGCGGCCGGUCCCGGUCCUGGCCGUACGCGGCGAUCAGGGCCUGCGCUUC